UUUGAAGAGUAUGAGCCAACAGAAGUUCACCGGGACCACUAGAAGUGGAAGACCAACGCGUGCCAGCUCGCGUUACGCGGACGAUGACACGGGUGGAGUUGGAGGUGGAGGUGUAGGUGGAGGUGGAGGACGUGGUGGAGGUGGAGGACGAGCUGGAGGACGAGGCGGAGGCGGAGGACGAGGACGAGGUGGAGGUGGACCUUUCCUUGGUGACAUACCCUCUGCUUCUGGCGACGUGGCUUCCCAGUCCGCUCACACACAGUCUACUGAGGGGGAGAUGGAGGUGGAGAUGGAGGUGGAGAUGGAGGUGGAGGGGCAGGAC